UCCUACGGGAGGCAGCAGUAGGGAAUCUUCCACAAUGGGCGAAAGCCUGAUGGAGCAACGCCGCGUGAGGGAGGAAGGUACAGAGUAUCGUAAACCUCUUUUGUCAGGGAACAAAGGCGGGGACGUGUCCCCGGAUGAGUGUACCUGAAGAAAAAGCAUCGGCUAACUCCGUGCCAGCAGCCGCGGUAAUACGGAGGAUGCGAGCGUUAUCCGAAUUUAUUGGGUUUAAAGGGUGCGCAGGCGGUCUGUUAAGUCAG
rnacentral:rRNA from 1 species